GGUCGUACUUUUCCACAGCUUUCUUGAACUUCUUAUAAUUAUGUUGUAAAUCAUGAACCAUUGAUUUAAAAAAUAAGGCUUAGAAGAAGUUCAAGGAAGCUGUGGGAAAAUAUGACAA
rnacentral:pre_miRNA from 1 species